UACGUAGGUGGCGAGCGUUAUCCGGAUUUACUGGGUGUAAAGGGAGCGUAGACGGCAUGGCAAGUCUGAAGUGAAAGCCCGGGGCUCAACCGCGGGACUGCUUUGGAAACUGUUAAGCUGGAGUGCAGGAGAGGUAAGUGGAAUUCCUAGUGUAGCGGUGAAAUGCGUAGAUAUUAGGAGGAACACCAGUGGCGAAGGCGGCUUACUGGACGAUUACUGACGCUGAGGCUCGAAAGCGUGGGGAGCAAACAGG
rnacentral:rRNA from 1 species